GGAAGGUUGUCCGAGCUGGCCGAAGGAGCACGCCUGGAAAGUGUGCAGGCGUCACAAGCGUCUCAAGGGUUCGAAUCCCUUACCUUCCG
rnacentral:tRNA from 1 species